CUACGGGUUGCAGCAGUGGGGAAUAUUGCACAAUGGGCGCAAGCCUGAUGCAGCCAUGCCGCGUGUAUGAAGAAGGCCUUCGGGUUGUAAAGUACUUUCAGCGGGGAGGAAGGGAGUAAAGUUAAUACCUUUGCUCAUUGACGUUACCCGCAGAAGAAGCACCGGCUAAGUCCGUGCCAGCAGCCGCGGUAAUACGGAGGGUGCAAGCGUUAAUCGGAAUUACUGGGCGUAAAGCGCACGCAGGCGGUUUGUUAAGUCAGAUGUGAAAUCCCCGGGCUCAACCUGGGAACUGCAUCUGAUACUGGCAAGCUUGAGUCUCGUAGAGGGGGGUAGAAUUCCAGGUGUAGCGGUGAAAUGCGUAGAGAUCUGGAGGAAUACCGGUGGCGAAGACGGCCCCCUGGACGAAGACUGACGCUCAGGUGCGAAAGCGUGGGGAGCAAACAGGAUUAGAUACCCUUGUAGUC
rnacentral:rRNA from 1 species